GAGUUUGAUCUUGGCUCAGAACGAACGCUGGCGGCAGGCCUAACACAUGCAAGUCGAACGCCCUCUUUCGGGAGGGAGUGGCGCACGGGUGAGUAACGCGUGGGAAUCUGCCCUUUGGUUCGGAAUAACCCUGGGAACCUAGGGCUAACGCCGGAUGAGCCCCUUGGUCGCGAGAUUGGAGGGGGAAGGUUUACGCCGGAGGAGGAGCCCGCGUCCGAUUAGCUAGUUGGUGAGGUAAGAGCUUACCAAGGCUUCGAUCGGUAGCUGGUCUGAGAGGACGAUCAGCCACACUGGGACUGAGACACGGCCCAGACUCCUACGGGAGGCGGCAGUGGGGAAUAUUGGACAAUGGGCGCAAGCCUGAUCCAGCCAUGCCGCGUGAGUGAUGAAGGCCUUC
rnacentral:rRNA from 1 species